UACGUAGGGGGCAAGCGUUGUCCGGAUUCAUUGGGCGUAAAGAGCGUGUAGGCGGCCAGGUAGGUCGGUUGUGAAAACUGGAGGCUCAACCUUCAGAGGUCGACCGAAACCAUCUGGCUAGAGUCCGGGAGAGGAGAGUGGAAUUCCUGGUGUAGCGGUGAAAUGUGUAGAGAUCGGGAGGAACACCGGUGGCGAAGGCGGGUCUCUGGGCAUCUCCUGACGCUGAGGCGCGAAAGCGUGGAGAGCAAACAGG
rnacentral:rRNA from 1 species